rnacentral:rRNA from 1 species
GACGAACGCUGGCGGCGUGCCUAAUACAUGCAAGUCGAACGCAUUUUCUUUCACCGUAGCUUGCUACACCGAAAGAAAAUGAGUGGCGAACGGGUGAGUAACACUUGGUUAACCUGCCCAUCAGCGUGGGAUAACACUUGGAAACAGGUGCUAAUACCGCAUAAUUCCAUUUACUGCAUGGUAGAUGGAUGAAAGGCGCUUUUGCGUCACUGAUGGAUGGACACGCGGUGCAUUAGCUAGUUGGUGGGGUAACGGCCUACCAAGGCUGCGAUGCAUAGCCGGCCUGGGGAGGUGGUCGGCCACCCUGGGACUGAGACACGGCCCAGACUUCUACGGGAGGCAGCAGUAGGGAAACUUCGGCAAUGGACGCAAGUCUGACCGAGCAACGCCGGGGGAGGGAAGAAGGGUUUCGGAUCGGAAAACUCUGUUGUUAGAAAAGAACAAGAAUGAGAGUGGAAAGUUCAUCCCUUGACGGUAUCUAACCAGAAAGCCACGGCUAACUACGUG